GUUUGAUCCUGGCUCAGAACGAACGCUGGCGGCGUGCCUAACACAUGCAAGUCGCGCGAGAAAGUGGGGGCAACUCCAUGAGUAAAGCGGCGCACGGGUGAGUAGUACGUAGGUAACCUACCUUCGAGACCGGGAUAACCUUCCGAAAGGAGGGCUAAUACUGGAUAAGACCACGGAGCCUCGGCUCUGGGGUUAAAGGUGGCCUCUGCUCGCAAGCUACCACUAGAGGAUGGGCCUGCGCACCAUUAGCUAGUUGGUGAGGUAACGGCUCACCAAGGCGAAGAUGGUUAGCUGAUCUGAGAGGAUGAUCAGCCACACUGGGACUGAGACACGGCCCAGACUCCUACGGGAGGCAGCAGUGGGGAAUCUUGGACAAUGGGGGAAACCCUGAUCCAGCGACGCCGCGUGGGUGAUGAAGGCCUUCGGGUCGUAAAGCCCUGUCGGGGGGGAAGAAACUCCUGCCGGUGAACAAUCGGCGGGAUUGACGGUACCCCCUAAGGAAGCACCGGCUAACUCCGUGCCAGCAGCCGCGGUAA
rnacentral:rRNA from 1 species